rnacentral:rRNA from 1 species
GACGUAGGGCGCGAGCGUUGUCCGGAUUUAUUGGGCGUAAAGAGCUCGUAGGCGGCUUGUCGCGUCGAAUGUGAAAACUCGGGGCUCAACUCCGAGCUUGCAUUCGAUACGGGCAGACUAGAGUUCGGUAGGGGAGUCUGGAAUUCCUGGUGUAGCGGUGAAAUGCGCAGAUAUCAGGAGGAACACCGGUGGCGAAGGCGGGACUCUGGGCCGAUACUGACGCUGAGGAGCGAAAGCGUGGGGAGCAAACAGG